rnacentral:rRNA from 1 species
AACGUAGGACGCAAGCGUUAUCCGGAGUUACUGGGCGUAAAGGGCGUGUAGGCGGCUUUUCAAGUGGCUCGUGAAAGACUUCGGCUCAACCGGGGGAGGUCGGGUCAGACUGAGAAGCUGGAGGAUGUCAGAGGGACACGGAAUUCCGGGUGUAGUGGUGAAAUGCGUAGAGAUCCGGAGGAACACCAGUGGCGCAGGCGGUGUCCUGGGACGUACCUGACGCUGAGACGCGAAAGCAUGGGGAGCGAACGGG